rnacentral:misc_RNA from 1 species
GAUGAAGAACGUAGCGAAAUGCGAUAAGUAAUGUGAAUUGCAGAAUUCAGUGAAUCAUCGAAUCUUUGUACGCACAUUGCGCCCCUUGGUAUUCCGAGGGGCAUGCCUGUUCGAGCGUCAUUAUAACCCCUCAAGCUCGGCUUGGUGUUGGGGCCUGCCGCACGGGCAGCCCUUAAAAUCAGUGGCGGUGCCAUCUGGCUCUAAGCGUAGUAAUUCUUCUCGCUAUAGAGUCCCGGUGGAUGCUUGCCAUUAACCCCCAAUUUCAAUGGUUGACCUCGGAUCAGGUAGGGAUACCCGCUGAACUUAAGCAUAUCAAUAAGCGGAGGA